rnacentral:rRNA from 1 species
GAUGAACGCUGGCGGCGUGCCUAAUACAUGCAAGUCGAGCGAACAGACGAGGAGCUUGCUCCUCUGACGUUAGCGGCGGACGGGUGAGUAACACGUGUAUAACCUACCUAUAAGACUGGGAUAACUUCGGGAAACCGGAGCUAAUACCGGAUAAUAUAUUGAACCGCAUGGUUCAAUAGUGAAAGACGGUUUUGCUGUCACUUAUAGAUGGAUCCGCGCCGCAUUAGCUAGUUGUUAAGGUAACGGCUUACCAAGGCAACGAUGCGUAGCCGACCUGAGAGGGUGAUAGGCCACAUUGGAACGGAGACACGGUCCAGACUCCUACGGGAGGCAGCAGUAGGGAAUCGUACGCAAUGGGCGAAAGCAUGACGGAGCAACGCCGCGUGAGUGAUGAAGGUCUUCGGAUCGUAAAACUCUGUUAUUAGGGAAGAACAAAUGUGUAAGUAACUAUGCACGUCUUGACGGUAACUAAUCAGAAAGCCACGGCUAACUACGUG